rnacentral:lncRNA from 1 species
UUAAUGUUUUUUUAAAUAAACAGAUGAUAAUCAUUUAAUCGAGUUAAUUUGAAUAAUUAAUUGAUCUAUUCUCAAUGUAUUAACCUGAGAUUCCACUACAGUUACGUGUUUCGGUUCCGUUUGAAUUUCAGCGACUUUUACAUUAGCGACUGAUGGGACAUUUGUUGGAACAUCUACGUACUCUCGUCUACGAGCAAUACUUACUUUUCGUAACCUGUGAUCAGGUUUAACAGUCUCAAUCGUUUCACCAUUUUCAAUCGUUUCACCAUUUUUUGGAGAUACUUUGAUUGUACUAACGCUAGUUGUUUCAUCACGUUUAAUAAUCUGAAUAGUGAUGAUAUAUAAUCUGUUUUUAACAACACAAUCAUAUAUAUUUGGAUAAUAACAACAUUAAAAUAUACUUCGUUAGAUGGCAAAGCAUGAUCUUGCUGUUCUGGGAAAAGUAAUUCCCUUUCUUGAUAAAACUUUUUGUAAUUGGCACAUUUAUUUUUCCAGAUACUAAAAAAAGAAAAAAAGAAAAAAGAAAAUAUCAUUAUACUUCUGAUAUGUUUUUUUAAUAAAUAACGAAAAAAGAAAUUGUGUAAGUAAUUCAAAACUCACGCGAGUACGAUUAAAACGUCCAUCAGAAAAAAUAAGGAUAGUAUAAAGCUGAAGAAUACCAGGGUUAUCUUUAUAUAUUUAAAAUCGCCACUGUUGUAUGGUGACAAAAGUAGAAAUAAACUGGCGAUAAAAAAGAGCAGAAAACCCAGCAUGGAGAAGACUGGUGAUAAAUGCGUAAAUACCGUUUAAAAUAAUGAAUAACAAGCAAACGAUUGUAGGCAUUGGAGAACUUGGUAUAAAAACUAUGUAAACGGCCAGAAAAAAGAGAAACACCGAGGUGAUCUAAAUUAAUAAAAAAAAUUUUGCGAAA